rnacentral:rRNA from 1 species
UACGAAGGGUGCAAACGUUGCUCGGAAUCAUUGGGCGUAAAGCGCACGUAGGCGGCCCGAUAAGUCGGAUGUGAAAUCCCUCGGCUCAACCGAGGACGUGCAUUCGAAACUGUCGGGCUCGAGUAUGGAAGAGGGUCGCGGAAUUCCCGGUGUAGAGGUGAAAUUCGUAGAUAUCGGGAGGAACACCAGUGGCGAAGGCGGCGACCUGGGCCAAUACUGACGCUGAGGUGCGAAAGCCGUGGGGAGCAAACAGG